AGAACAAGAGGAGGGGAGGGGCGGGAGGUACGCGCAAUAAGCUGGAUCGCAGAGGGGACAGGGACUUGUGCUGGAGGUGGCACUGACCCAGCACCUCUGCGAACUUGCCCAAGGCUCCAUGCAAACUCCGGGCGAGGAGGCAGUGGGCGCCACAGUCUUCCGGCUGCACCCUGCGGCCCUCCCACUCGCUCUCCCCAAAGCUCCCGCCCAUCCAUCUCCAGGAACCGCCGCCCAGACUCGGGUUACCGGCCGCGCCCUCACUGCCAGCAAAUCGCAGCGCAGCGGCGGCAGCAGGCCGCGUGGCCCUUUCACUCCGGAAACCACCCUCUGAACCAGGGCGGGUCUGCGCACCGCGCACCUGCGCUCGGGUCUCAGAGCCCGGUGCUUGGAGACUCACCUUCCAGCCCCAGACCAAGCGGGCCGGGGGCCCAGGGAACUCUAGGCUAGAGGCGGCCGCCGUGGGAACCUGAGGGCUCGGGAGCCCUCCCAGCCCUGGUACCUGGGAGGUUCCAGCUGUUGCUGCGGCCGCUGCUAUUCCAGCUUGGUGGACGCUUCACGUCCGCUUUGCUUUCGGGCCGGAUUCCGGCGUUGACUCAGAGCACCGGGAGAUGGCGCUGGCCUGUGCAGUCUCUGACCCCGCACCCCCAGGCUGGACUUCCGGGGCGGAGGCUGAGCCUCGCGCGCACCCUCCUGGCCCCGCCUGAGAGCAGAAGGCUUGGCGGGGGAGGCAGGUAAGAUGUACCUUUACCUAAAGGCAAUCGACUAUUUAUUUUGAAGAAUACUUGCUAGAUUUUCUACUACUAAUAGGCCAUUUAUGAUCACAGAAAAGUUCACCACAUUUGGAGCACCAGACUUUAAAAAAAAAAUGCAGUCAAGUUAAAAUGAAGUCAUACUGGAUAAGGGUGGGCUCUAAUUCAACGACUGCUGUUCUUACGAGAGGAGAGAAAUUUGGACACAGACACACAGAGUGUGAAAACACGGAGACAUAGGAGAGACGAAGAAGAAAGUUCUGUUAUCAACAGAGGCAGAGAUUGGAGAGAUGUGUCUACAAGCCAAGGAUUGCCAAUAACCAUCAGCGACUAGGAGACAGGCAUGGAACGGUUUCUUCCCUGAAGCUUUCCAAGGGAGCAAGGCCCUGCUAACACCUUCGCUUCAGACUUGCAGCUUCCAGAACUAUGAGAGAAUACAUUUCUAUUGGUUUAAACCACACAGUUUGUGGUAAUUUGUUAUGGCAGCCCUAGGAUUUAUGGCACAUUUCUAUCAUCACAGGAAGAUCCGGACAGCUCUGUAAUCUAGAGCAGCAGUCCCCAAAGUUUUUGGCACCAGGGACCGGUUUCGUGGAAGACAAUUCUUCCC